ensembl:lncRNA
CCUUUCCCAUUUGGUCUCUCUUCUCAGCAACUUUACCUCCUUACCUCUCUUUGACCUCCUUUCCUCUCCUUCACAGUUUGGCCCUUGACUUCGGGGCCUUCUUACCUUUCUUUACCUGAAAUGAUCUGCCCCUUACCCGGGUCUCCUUCACACCCUUCUCUCUGGUCCUAACCCUUCUGCGGCCAAGCCCAGCAUAGCUCCCCGGCUCGGCCUGGUCAGCUUGAGCUGUAUUUUGUUCGAGUGCCCCUGGCCUAGGAAAGGAGUGUGUAGUGUAAAGUGGGGCCAAGUGUCCCCCCGGGCUGGGGCCACUGCCUCGCCCCCUCCGCCCCUCCCGAGUCCCGGUUGCGGCGCUUCCUGGGCGGAUGGUUUGGACUUGCUGCAGCAGCUGCGGUUCUGCUGUGUCAUGCAAGAAGGAGGCGGCGGCGGCCGGAGCUGGAGUGGGAGGAGGGGAGGAACCUGAUCCUCCGGUAGCGAAGGGCUGGAGGCAAACACCGAGCUCCCCCAGAGCCGCCCGGGAGCAGGGAGGGCUCCGCUACCCCGAGGGGCCCUCCCCUAGGGGCCGAGGAACCUCCUUGUCCUUUCAUCCUGGCCCAUCAUUACCUCUCAGAAGGUGGCUCCUCCCUCUAUUGACAGACCUUACUCUGUCCCACUCCUGUGCCACCUCUAUGCAGAAUUCAAUGUGCAGACUCUCUGAGCCGAGCUUUGGGGUCACCUAA